rnacentral:rRNA from 1 species
GACGAACGCUGGCGGCGUGCUUAACACAUGCAAGUCGAACGGAAAGGCCCUGCUUUUGUGGGGUGCUCGAGUGGCGAACGGGUGAGUAACACGUGAGUAACCUGCCCUUGACUUUGGGAUAACUUCAGGAAACUGGGGCUAAUACCGGAUAGGAGCUCCUGCUGCAUGGUGGGGGUUGGAAAGUUUCGGCGGUUGGGGAUGGACUCGCGGCUUAUCAGCUUGUUGGUGGGGUAGUGGCUUACCAAGGCUUUGACGGGUAGCCGGCCUGAGAGGGCGACCGGCCACAUUGGGACUGAGAUACGGCCCAGACUCCUACGGGAGGCAGCAGUGGGGAAUAUUGCACAAUGGGCGGAAGCCUGAUGCAGCAACGCCGCGUGCGGGAUGACGGCCUUCGGGUUGUAAACCGCUUUCGCCUGUGACAAAGCGUGAGUGACGGUAAUGGGUAAAGAAGCACCGGCUAACUACGU